GUGACUGCGUACCUUUUGUAUAAUGGGUCAGCGACUUAUAUUCUGUAGCAAGGUUAACCGAAUAGGGGAGCCGGAGGGAAACCGAGUCUUAAUUGGGCGUUAAGUUGCAGGGUAUAGACCCGAAACCCGGUGAUCUAGCCAUGGGCAGGUUGAAGGUUGGGUAACACUAACUGGAGGACCGAACCGACUAAUGUUGAAAAAUUAGCGGAUGACCUGUGGCUGGGGGUGAAAGGCCAAUCAAACCGGGAGAUAGCUGGUUCUCCCCGAAAGCUAUUUAGGUAGCGCCUCGUGAAUUCAUCUCCGGGGGUAGAGCACUGUUUCGGCUAGGGGGCCAUCCCGGCUUACCAACCCGAUGCAAACUGCGAAUACCGGAGAAUGUUAUCACGGGAGACACACGGCGGGUGCUAACGUCCGUCGUGAAGAGGGAAACAACCCAGACCGCCAGCUAAGGUCCCAAAGUCAUGGUUAAGUGGGAAACGAUGUGGGAAGGCCCAGACAGCCAGGAUGUUGGCUUAGAAGCAGCCAUCAUUUAAAGAAAGCGUAAUAGCUCACUGGUCGAGUCGGCCUGCGCGGAAGAUGUAACGGGGCUAAACCAUGCACCGAAGCUGCGGCAGCGA
rnacentral:rRNA from 45 species